rnacentral:rRNA from 2 species
ACGGGAUGGGCUACACACGUGCUACAAUGGCGCAUACAAAGGGCAGCAAGCCAGCGAUGGUUAGCGAAUCUCAUAAAGUGCGUCGUAGUCCGGAUUGGAGUCUGCAACUCGACUCCAUGAAGUCGGAAUCGCUAGUAAUCGUGGAUCAGAAUGCCACGGUGAAUACGUUCCCGGGCCUUGUACACACCGCCCGUCACACCAUGGGAGUGGGCUGCACCAGAAGUGGUUAGUUUAACCUUCGGGAGAACGAUCACCACGGUGUGGUUCAUGACUGGGGUGAAGUCGUAACAAGGUAGCCGUAGGGGAACCUGCGGCUGGAUCACCUCCUUAC